ACAAAAAACAAACCCAGAAAUUAAUGUUCUCAGUUUUAGAGUCCAAAAGGUUGAAGAGUCUAACAAAGUCUUUGUUCCAGGCCUCCUUGUGGCCCCAUGGAUGGCUUCCUUACAAGGUUAUCCCUCUGAGCAUGUUCUGGGAGAGUGGCAGAGACCUUGUAGCUUCUGAAAAGUUCCUCUGGGCUCACUCCUGCAACGCAUGAGACAGAACCAGGCUACAGAAUGACAUCAGCUGAGCAGAACAGCUGACGUCAGAGAGCACCAAGCCCUCAGGCCAGCAAGUCAGGGAGGGCGCCUUCGAUAACCCUGACCCAGUAGCGCUAGAAGACAGCGGACACAUGAGGGAUGCUGGGUAGAAAAGGGUGUCUAGACUCCCCCAAAGGCAAGCUAAAUCUAUAGCAAGAAAUAGGUGAAUUUGGCUCAAUACACCUAUCAGAAAGGCCAGUAUGGUCAGAAUGAAGGCUAGAAGCUCUCCUGACCCAGCAUCUCGUCCCUGGAGUGGACUUGGGAGCAAUAAUCAUCUUUACAAGUGAUACAAGUUGGAAUUUCAGGAGCCUAGGAGUCUGGAGGAAUGACCGCCCCACGUGGUAGCAGCCAGGAGCUGAAAUCUGGCAUGGAUGCCCAUUGCAACGAAAAACUGGUAAUGGCCCUGCUUGUACUGGCAAACAACUUUUACAACUCAUAAAAUCCUAAUCAUGUUGCUGGAAGCCCUUUCAACUCACAGUGUGUAACACCACCAUCAAAUACUUAAAAAAACAAAUUUUAAAAGUAAAAAUGGGGACUAUGCUUUCACUUAAACGCUCAACGCUUCGGGUGUUUAGCCAUGGUUACUUUAAUUUUUUUUUCACUUUAAAGGAUAAUGUUUCCUCUGUUACCCAAAAGCAUUUUUUCCCUAAAGGAGACACAGACAUGGACACAGUGUAUGUUAAAUGAAAGAUCUAGGAACCAAUCAGUCGGAAGGGCCUCAUGUUCUUCAAACAUCAGAGCAGGGUUACACUCAUGUCUUUCCAGAAAAUGAAAGAAGUCCCAGAUGAUAUCUGCCCCAUGCACCUGACCAAGACACCAUCCCAGAGACCACUGGACAGUGAAGCAUCUGAAGAAAGAUAAUAAACACACCAAGAGGAAGCAUCCCAAGAGGAAGAAGAAGCUGAUGACUUGGGGAAGGCAUCAAGACUUUAAUUCAUCAAGCUGAGACCUUGGGGAGACAAGGACCCAAUACUACUGACCCCCCAAAUGGUGACGUCAUGCUUAUUGACUAUAUUAUACGUUCAUUCUCAGAUUGUGCAAAAUCCAAAUACUUUAUUUUCUGGCAUGUGCUGCUUUAAUGUGUCAUAUUUCUCUCAUAUUCAAAUCAAUGAUCUGCAUAAAGAGAAAGACACAACAUCUCCAGUAACCUUUGAAGGCCAUCUUGAUUAAGAUGGCUUCCCCUUUCCUUGGUCCUCUGCUGGUAUUCCUACAAUUCUGUUACACAUGCAUAUAACGUUAGACCAGCCAUGCAGGCUAUGCAGCCAACCUUGGCUUAUACUACUACAGCCACAAAAUCUCUUUUAAAACUGAAAAGGGGGAGAUAUAGGGAGAUAUAGGAAGUACAGCUAUCUUUGUGCUCACAGAUAAGCACCAGAGAAACCUGGGGCGUUAAGCACACAGGGUCGUUCCUUCAAGGGAAGGAAUGCAAUACCUGUCCUCUGCCCAGAAGGCUGAAAGACCUUCUGACCUAGUGACCUUUGUGCUAUCUGUGUAGCUAGAAACUUCUCUGGCACUGGAUCCUCCCCUA
rnacentral:sRNA from 1 species